rnacentral:rRNA from 1 species
UACGUAGGGGGCAAGCGUUGUCCGGAAUCAUUGGGCGUAAAGAGCGUGUAGGCGGCCCGAUGAGUCCGCUGUGAAAGUCCAGGGCUCAACCCUGGAAUGCCGGUGGAUACUGUCGGGCUCGAGUUCGGAAGAGGUGAGUGGAAUUCCUGGUGUAGCGGUGAAAUGCGUAGAUAUCUGGAGGAACACCGGUGGCGAAGGCGGCAUCCUGGACCGGUAUUGACGCUGAGGCGCGAAAGCUAGGGGAGCAAACGGG